GUGGAGCAAUGGAUAGCAUGUUGGACUUCUAAUCCAAAGGACGUGGGUUCAAAUUCCACGACCU